GUUUAUUUAACAGUUCUUGUUCUUGUAAGUAAAUGAGUAUUUCUAACAUGAGGAAUGUAGUAGCACCGGAAACCUGAUUGAGAGUG